GCUCAUGUCCAGCUGGGCAGAGGCCCCAUCUGGCUGGGAGGGACCAGGACACCCUAAGUGGCUGCCCAGGGUCUUGUGGUUUCUGGUGACCUUGAGACUCUUCCGGGGUGGGGCGGAUGGGACCAGGCAUAGCACAGCUUGGAGAAGGCUACACAGCUGCUGUCCAGAUUCUCCCAGGCUGUGCUCCUGUCUCCAAACAGUGGUAGAGGGUGCCAGAGAGGUCGAUGUUGGUGGAAUUUAAUAUUAGGUAUAAUCGAGGCUUAGUAGGAAUCAGCUUGUCAGGUUAGGGAAGCAGGGUGACCAUCUACGGACUAUCUGCAUUCUCCUGGGCUAGACUGUGUGUAUGUGUGUGCGCUUGUGCAUGUGCAUGUGCCUGUGUGUGUUUGUGUGUAUGUGUAUAUUGGGUUUUCUUUCUUGCAUCUGUAAUUUCCAACUUGCAGAAUGUAACAGAAGUUGGUCUUGGCUACCAGGUGGGUUUGGACAGCCCAUAGGAGCACAGAUCAGUGCUAAGUCAUUUGCUAACUGCCUUGGAGGAGCCCCAGUUAGAGACCCAGGCAACCCACCAUGCUGAUUCCUUUGGAUUGCUGCUCAGAUGACAGCUCCUGGCACAAUUUCUGGCAUACGUGAGGUGCUCAGUCAACAAAAACUUAUAGAAUGGAUGAAUGGAACAUAGAGGAGCUGAAUCUGUGAGGAGGAGGAGACUGACUUGGUGAUGGCCUUCAGAAGAGUACUGUGUUUCGUGCACACAUCACAGAGAGGAAAAAUUUCCCUUGACCUUGUCUCCAUCAGAGAGAAGCCAGGCAUUACCAGUGGUGACUAAGGCUACAAAAGGUCGUGUGAAGACUUCCUCAUGUUAGAUGCAUCUGCAGAGAUUUCUCACAAGCGACUGGCUCCAAACAAUACAGCCUUGGGAUUUAGGUCACUAUAGGAUUUGUGUAAUUUCAGUCUUUAGAAGGUAGCUUUAGGAUUUACAACGAUGGCAUAAACUAUCUCUUCAAGAAAUGAGUGUUUCUAUUUUUCAUGUCUUGCAUCUCUGCUUUUAGUUAAGUAAGCAUUUUCUUUGUUUCCAAGUAGCUACUGCAAAAGCAAAAUAGAUACAAGCUUUUAGCUCAGUUAUUUGAGAGACAUCCAGGUUUCAAAGAAGACUUUUAAAAAUGUGUUACUGGAAAUUGAUGGACAAACUCUGUGUGCUUUCCUUUGCUGACAUGUGCGGCCAAGUGGAACAGACAGUAUUUUUAUUUGUGGUAAUUGUCCACUGACAGCCUUGUUUUCCGUUUAUUCCAAGUUGUCCACCAAUUCAAAUAGGUUAAAGCAGAGCAGACCAUUCCACAGCCACGGUCCAUCAACAAUUUCUUGAACAGGAGGGAAAAUAAAUUAAUAUUUACUCAGC